rnacentral:rRNA from 1 species
AGGGAUUUGAAAGAUCCCAAUACAUUUGUGGACUUUCUUGUGUCAACUUCAAAGCCCACAAUGCGGCUCUCUUCAAGCAUUUACUAUCCGAAGUAUCGUUUUGGCGCCUUUGGGACAUUAUUCCCUUUGAAUAUGGCAAACAGGGCAUGCCCAGAAGAUUAUGGUGUCAUGGGUUUAAGAUAUGGUUCAAAGAAUCUAUCGUUGUAUGCCAAUUACUUAUAAGAUAAGUAAUACAUGCGCCUGGUGAGGUACCCUAUGGUGCAUGGUUGGUUGGGAGAAAAGGGAAUUUAAGUGCAGGCGUACAAUACAAACCAAUAGGUUUGUGUUACUAAACGUUCACUGAUUAUCAGAGCGAUAUAUUCUACGCCGCGGAUUUUGAGGUGGAAGCAAGCAUCCUAUGCCUUUUACAGACUUGAAGAACUGGAAUUGUGCAAUCGGUUAUGGUGUAGGCUCAAGUAGCCCACUCAGCCCUUCAUUUAAUUUUGCACUAGAGCUUGUUAGAAGUUCGCAGCUGGUUGCAUCGUUCUAUCAACACCAUAUUUCUGCAAAGGUACUAGAUUAUCGGGGUGGAGAUGAAACUUUGAACUACAUUGAUCUUGGACUUGAGCUAGCCACAAGGGUGGAUAAAGACAAACCAACAGAUGAUGCUGGCAAUUCAUCGUUUCAGGGAAAGUUAGGCCCUUCGAAAUCUUCUGCAGCAUUGGCGUAUAAGUUUCCACCCUUCUUUACAUGUAGUAUCACAGAUACCAAACACUUAAUCGAGAGUGUACGGUCUUGAAACAACAUGAGAUAGACGUUGAUGGAAAGGAGCGCGUCCUCGAGUUUGACUUUGGUCCAGGCAACUAUGACAAUUUACCAACGGAGUUGAAACCUAUUGACAAAGUAUUGUAAUUGUAGGUUGUUACACUUAGUGUCUCAUCAUGGAGUCGGGAAGCCCCAUAAAACUAUCAGUUAUUAUGGGUAUUAGAUUAGUUGAUCAACUGCUUUGAUAAGGACAAAUCAUGUGUCUGUCAUUCAAGCGUGAAAUACAAUGGUACUGUAUGCAGUUAUCUGUCAAAUGUUCAAGAG